rnacentral:rRNA from 1 species
CUACGGGGUGCUCCAGUGAGGAAUAUUGCACAAUGGGGGGAACCCUGAUGCAGCAACGCCGCGUGGAGGAUGACGCAUUUCGGUGUGUAAACUCCUUUUAUAUGUCAAGAAAAUGACGGUAGCAUAUGAAUAAGCACCGGCUAACUCCGUGCCAGCAGCCGCGGUAAUACGGAGGGUGCAAGCGUUACUCGGAAUCACUGGGCGUAAAGGACGCGUAGGCGGGUUGGAAAGUCAGGUGUGAAAUCCUACAGCUUAACUGUAGAACUGCACUUGAAGCUUCUAAUCUAGAGUAUGGGAGGGGGAGAUGGAAUUAGUGGUGUAGGGGUAAAAUCCGUAGAUAUCACUAGGAAUACCUAAAGCGAAGGCGAUCUCCUGGAACAUUACUGACGCUAAGGCGUGAAAGCGUGGGGAGCAAACAGGAUUAGGUACCCGCGUAGUC